rnacentral:rRNA from 1 species
UACGGAGGAUGCAAGCGUUAUCCGGAAUGAUUGGGCGUAAAGCGUCCGUAGGUGGUUAGGCAAGUCUGCUGUCAAAGCUCGGGGCUUAACUCCGAAGCGGCGGUGGAAACUGCCAGACUGGAGUGCGGUAGGGGUAGAGGGAAUUCCCGGUGUAGCGGUGAAAUGCGUAGAUAUCGGGAAGAACACCGGCGGCGAAGGCGCUCUACUGGGCCGUAACUGACACUGAGGGACGAAAGCUAGGGGAGCGAAAGGG